AUCCAUAGAAUAUAUUUACAUGACAGAUAACUGUGUUCACAAGAUGGCGCCCUCUGCUGCACUGUCAUUGCUGAUCCAAUUUUGGGUUGAUUAGGGGUUUUUUAUGGGGAAAAUUUCCAGAUCUUUCAAAUGUCAAAUAAAGUUAACCUGUUCAGAAGGUUAAACCUCUAAUCUAACUUACCCUUCUCUUUGCUGACACUAAGUGUUGUUACUUCAGUUUUGAACAUUUUGUGCAGGUCGUCUUAAAAUUUGAUAACGUCCAGAGUAGAGGUCGACUGAAAUAUCCUGCCGAUAUUUGGCAAUUUUUAAUGUAUCGGCAUCGGCCGAUAUCCGAGUGUAAUAUACCGAUUUACAGACAGGCAGGUCUGCGGGCACCCCAGUGUUAUUGCUGCGGUGGAACACGUGACCCAUGCUGCCUUGUGCAGGACCCCACCCAGAAGUUCUGGAAGAGUCCUGGGAGAAAACGGUAAAGCUUACAUUCGGAUCUUUCAAACACCUAUUUAUUUAACUGGCUUACUAUGAAAUGUUGCUUUAAAAGAAAACGCGAGCUACGCUGUCGGGAACUGGCGUAAUGAUAAUGAGCCUUCAGCCAACUAGCUUACAGUAAUUGCUGUCUGACGGAUGAACAAAAAUCUAAUCCUGUUUGGCAGCAUUUCACCAAGCCAACACCAGGAAAAGCCAGGUGCAAUAUCUGCAGCAGACUGGUGAAUUUUCCUUCCCUCAGCAAAGAGGAGUUUGCUGCUAUAUUGUGCACUAAAAGAGAUUCUGAUGCUCCUAUUUUUAUUGUUUAUAAGUUUGUUAUUGUUUACAAGUUGUAUUGCGUUUUUGUUAAGUUUAUAUUUAAAUUCACACAAGUCAGUAUUCAAUAAAUGCUAAGUUGAGAAA